ACGCUGGUGGCUCAGUGGUUAAGAGCUAUGGCUGCUAACCAAGAGGUCAGCGGUUCAAAUCCGCCAGGCGCU
rnacentral:tRNA from 1 species